CAGGGUGUCAACAAGCGCGCACGCGCGGACGCCCACGCAGGCGCACGCGCCGUGGCGCCCCCGGGCGUAACCCCAGCUGCUGUGACGGGCCAGGGCUCGCAGCUCGCCUGCUAGAGUUUGUGGCGCGCCCUCGGGAUCAGGGCACUGGGGUUUGAAGGGGCUGCAGCGUGGGAAGCCUUCAAUUUUUUUUUUUUUUUUGUAAGCUGCGUGUGCUCAGAUUGAGGAAGCAGUUUUGUCACACAUGUUCAACACGUUCCACGCUGGUCACAAGCUAGCAAGGAUGAAACUAAUGGAAUAACAUCAACUAAGCCUUGCUGCUUCUCAGGCCCUGAGGAAUGGAGUGUACUAAUUAUGUACUCUGAAGCUAUAGGUGAGGAAACCUAGGCUCAAGUUGACACUCAAGCUCACCUUGCAAGAUAGUGGCAGAGCUGAUAAGACUCCCUCAUUAGUGCAGUCAAUCUUGAAGUUCUCCCCGGUGAGAAGGGUGAAGGUGACUUCAACACCCCUGAGAGGACGGCUGGAUAUUGACAAGACCCAGAAAAAGACAGUGGGAAAAAUCUCUACCAUAUGAGGCUAUAAUCCUAGCUGUGGUCAAUGUGUUGAAAGCUUUAUAUUUCCUGACCACAGGAUCUUUCUAUAAAAUGAUCAGGGAGGAGGGAUAUUCCUAGGAUUAGCCAGCUGGCUAUUCCUAUAUGCUUAUUAAAAUUUCU
rnacentral:lncRNA from 1 species